rnacentral:misc_RNA from 1 species
AAGUCGUAACAAGGUUUCCGUAGGUGAACCUGCGGAAGGAUCAUUAACGAUUGGCCCCCGUGGCCUCGUCAUUAAUCCCAACACCCCGGUGAACCGUUUUCCUCCGGCCCUCGGGCCGGAUUUUACACACAUGCAAACACUGUGUGACGAACGUCUCGUGAUCUUAACGAAACAAAACUUUCAACAACGGAUCUCUUGGCUCUC